rnacentral:rRNA from 1 species
UACGAAGGGUGCAAGCGUUAAUCGGAAUUACUGGGCGUAAAGGGUGCGUAGGCGGUUCGUUAAGUCUGCUGUGAAAUCCCCGGGCUCAACCUGGGAAUGGCGGUGGAUACUGGGCAGCUAGAGUGUGUCAGAGGAUGGUGGAAUUCCCGGUGUAGCGGUGAAAUGCGUAGAGAUCGGGAGGAACAUCAGUGGCGAAGGCGGCCAUCUGGGACAACACUGACGCUGAAGCACGAAAGCGUGGGGAGCAAACAGG